AUUGAACGCUGGCGGCAUGCCUUACACAUGCAAGUCGAACGGCAGCACGGGGCAACCUGGUGGCGAGUGGCGAACGGGUGAGUAAUGCAUCGGAACGUGCCAUUGAGUGGGGAUAACGUAGCGAAAGUUGCGCUAAUACCGCAUAUUCUGUGAGCAGGAAAGCAGGGACCGGCAAGGCCUUGCGCUCUUUGAGCGGCCGAUGUCAGAUUAGCUAGUUGGUGAGGUAACGGCUUACCAAGGCGACGAUCUGUAGCGGGUCUGAGAGGAUGAUCCGCCACACUGGAACUGAGACACGGUCCAGACUCCUACGGGAGGCAGCAGUGGGGGAAUUUUGGACAAUGGGCGCAAGCCUGAUCCAGCCAUGCCGCGUGAGUGAAGAAGGCCU
rnacentral:rRNA from 1 species